GUUUAAAACUAAGAGAACCAAAUUUCACAUUGAAAAGAACAUUUAAGGUAGAGAAUACAGGACAACUUCAAAUUCACAUAGAAACCAUUGAAAUCAGUGGAUACUCAUGUGAAGGAUAUGGCUUUAAAGUUGUUAAUUGUCAAGAGUUUACUCUAAGUGCCAAUGCUUCUAGAGAUAUAAUCAUAUUGUUUACUCCUGAUUUUACAGCUUCUAGAGUUAUUCGGGAACUGAAGUUUAUAACAACCAGUGGCUCUGAGUUUGUAUUUAUAUUGAAUGCAUCCCUUCCUUACCAUAUGUUAGCAACCUGUGCAGAAGCCCUACCCAGACCUAACUGGGAACUGGCUCUGUAUAUCAUCAUCUCAGGAAUAAUGAGUGCACUGUUUCUUUUGGUCAUUGGAACAGCCUAUUUGGAAGCUCAAGGAAUAUGGGAGCCAUUUCGAAGGCGGCUAUCCUUUGAGGCCUCGAACCCGCCCUUCGAUGUGGGAAGGCCAUUUGAUCUCAGGAGAAUCGUUGGUAUUUCAUCUGAAGGAAAGUAUGUUCACAUGCUGGCAAUAAAUUCCCUAGUGUACAUAGAUUUGGCUGAUAAAAUUACAAUAAAAAAUAAGUUUCUUUUCAUCUUUGCUCAGGAGAAAAAAAA
rnacentral:lncRNA from 1 species